rnacentral:lncRNA from 1 species
CACGAGAGUAUAAGCUACCUACUGAUGCGGUUGAAAAAAAGAUUGUGAGUUUUGUAUUAGUAUAUAUAUGUAAAAUGUAACAUGUGCCUAUAGUUUCUAUUUUUAUAUCCUGAUGUACUUUAGUAAGAUUGUGAUAUUGUUUAACAUCCUUAUUGUAGGAAGAUGUUGAAAAACUUCUUAAAACAGGAACCGUUGAGGAUGCUAACAAACUUGUAUAUGGUGACAAGAAACACAGCCGCUCGUACCUACUAGGUAGACUUAUUCAGAGAAGGGAAGCAAAGGGGAAAUCUGUGACACACACUGAGGCUACUAUCUCUGAUCAGGUGUUGGCCAGUUUGACAGAAAAGAUCCGAGAACAACUUGCUCAAGAGAUGGAAGAAAAAAUGGAUCAGAAGGUUCGGGAGAAUGUCAAGGCAAUGGUGUCCAAGUUGGCAGAAAAGAAUCCAGACCUCAAGAUUGAUAUUCAAGACCUCAGUGUCGAGCCGACGUAUGAUGCCUCUGCAAGUGGAGCGAACACAGCCACCACGGACACUACUUGACUUGAUGUGUGAUGCACUUAG